rnacentral:tRNA from 1 species
GGCUGGCUGGCUGAGUUGGCAGAACAUGUGACUCUUGAUCUCAGGGUCAUGAGUUCAAGCCUCAUGUUAGGCA